rnacentral:rRNA from 1 species
CAUACAAGGCAUACGGCUCAGUAACGCGUAGUCAACCUAACCUAUGGACGGGAAUAACCUCGGGAAACUGAGAAUAAUGCCCGAUAGAACAUUAUGCCUGGAAUGGUUUAUGUUCCAAAUGAUUUAUCGCCGUAGGAUGGGACUGCGGCCUAUCAGUUUGUUGGUGAGGUAAUGGCCCACCAAGACUAUUACAGGUACGGGCUCUGAGAGGAGUAGCCCGGAGAUGGGUACUGAGACACGGACCCAGGCCCUAUGGGGCGCAGCAGGCGAGAAAACUCUGCAAUGUGCGAAAGCACGACAAGGUUAAUCCGAGUGGUUUCUGCUAAAGAAACCUUUUGUCAGUCCUAGAAACACUGAUGAAUAAGGGGUGGGCAAGUUCUGGUGUCAGCCGCCGCGGUAAAACCAGCACCUCAAGUGGUCAGGAUGAUUAUUGGGCCUAAAGCAUCCGUAGCCGGCUCUGUAAGUUUUCGGUUAAAUCUGUACGCUCAACGUACAGGCUGCCGGGAAUACUGCAGAGCUAGGGAGUGGGAGAGGUAGACGGUACUCGGUAGGAAGGGGUAAAAUCCUUUGAUCUAUUGAUGACCACCUGUGGCGAAGGCGGUCUACCAGAACACGUCCGACGGUGAGGGAUGAAAGCUGGGGGAGCAAACCGGAUUAGAUACCCGGGUAGUCCCAGCUGUAAACUAUGCAAACUCAGUGAUGCAUUGGCUUGUGGCCAAUGCAGUGCUGCAGGGAAGCCGUUAAGUUUGCCGCCUGGGAAGUACGUACGCAAGUAUGAAACUUAAAGGAAUUGGCGGGGGAGCACCACAAGGGGUGAAGCCUGCGGUUCAAUUGGAGUCAACGCCGGA